GGUUAAGCGACUAAGCGUACACGGUGGAUGCCCUGGCAGUCAGAGGCGAUGAAGGACGUGCUAAUCUGCGAUAAGCGUCGGUAAGGUGAUAUGAACCGUUAUAACCGGCGAUUUCCGAAUGGGGAAACCCAGUGUGAUUCGUCACACUAUCAUUAACUGAAUCCAUAGGUUAAUGAGGCGAACCGGGGGAACUGAAACAUCUAAGUACCCCGAGGAAAAGAAAUCAACCGAGAUUCCCCCAGUAGCGGCGAGCGAACGGGGAGGAGCCCAGAGCCUGAAUCAGUGUGUGUGUUAGUGGAAGCGUCUGGAAAGGCGCGCGAUACAGGGUGACAGCCCCGUACACAAAAAUGCACAUACUGUGAGCUCGAUGAGUAGGGCGGGACACGUGGUAUCCUGUCUGAAUAUGGGGGGACCAUCCUCCAAGGCUAAAUACUCCUGACUGACCGAUAGUGAACCAGUACCGUGAGGGAAAGGCGAAAAGAACCCCGGCGAGGGGAGUGAAAAAGAACCUGAAACCGUGUACGUACAAGCAGUGGGAGCACGCUUAGGCGUGUGACUGCGUACCUUUUGUAUAAUGGGUCAGCGACUUAUAUUCUGUAGCAAGGUUAACCGAAUAGGGGAGCCGAAGGGAAACCGAGUCUUAACUGGGCGUUAAGUUGCAGGGUAUAGACCCGAAACCCGGUGAUCUAGCCAUGGGCAGGUUGAAGGUUGGGUAACACUAACUGGAGGACCGAACCGACUAAUGUUGAAAAAUUAGCGGAUGACUUGUGGCUGGGGGUGAAAGGCCAAUCAAACCGGGAGAUAGCUGGUUCUCCCCGAAAGCUAUUUAGGUAGCGCCUCGUGAAUUCAUCUCCGGGGGUAGAGCACUGUUUCGGCAAGGGGGUCAUCCCGACUUACCAACCCGAUGCAAACUGCGAAUACCGGAGAAUGUUAUCACGGGAGACACACGGCGGGUGCUAACGUCCGUCGUGAAGAGGGAAACAACCCAGACCGCCAGCUAAGGUCCCAAAGUCAUGGUUAAGUGGGAAACGAUGUGGGAAGGCCCAGACAGCCAGGAUGUUGGCUUAGAAGCAGCCAUCAUUUAAAGAAAGCGUAAUAGCUCACUGGUCGAGUCGGCCUGCGCGGAAGAUGUAACGGGGCUAAACCAUGCACCGAAGCUGCGGCAGCGACGCUUAUGCGUUGUUGGGUAGGGGAGCGUUCUGUAAGCCUGCGAAGGUGUGCUGUGAGGCAUGCUGGAGGUAUCAGAAGUGCGAAUGCUGACAUAAGUAACGAUAAAGCGGGUGAAAAGCCCGCUCGCCGGAAGACCAAGGGUUCCUGUCCAACGUUAAUCGGGGCAGGGUGAGUCGACCCCUAAGGCGAGGCCGAAAGGCGUAGUCGAUGGGAAACAGGUUAAUAUUCCUGUACUUGGUGUUACUGCGAAGGGGGGACGGAGAAGGCUAUGUUGGCCGGGCGACGGUUGUCCCGGUUUAAGCGUGUAGGCUGGUUUUCCAGGCAAAUCCGGAAAAUCAAGGCUGAGGCGUGAUGACGAGGCACUACGGUGCUGAAGCAACAAAUGCCCUGCUUCCAGGAAAAGCCUCUAAGCAUCAGGUAACAUCAAAUCGUACCCCAAACCGACACAGGUGGUCAGGUAGAGAAUACCAAGGCGCUUGAGAGAACUCGGGUGAAGGAACUAGGCAAAAUGGUGCCGUAACUUCGGGAGAAGGCACGCUGAUAUGUAGGUGAGGUCCCUCGCGGAUGGAGCUGAAAUCAGUCGAAGAUACCAGCUGGCUGCAACUGUUUAUUAAAAACACAGCACUGUGCAAACACGAAAGUGGACGUAUACGGUGUGACGCCUGCCCGGUGCCGGAAGGUUAAUUGAUGGGGUUAGCGCAAACGAAGCUCUUGAUCGAAGCCCCGGUAAACGGCGGCCGUAACUAUAACGGUCCUAAGGUAGCGAAAUUCCUUGUCGGGUAAGUUCCGACCUGCACGAAUGGCGUAAUGAUGGCCAGGCUGUCUCCACCCGAGACUCAGUGAAAUUGAACUCGCUGUGAAGAUGCAGUGUACCCGCGGCAAGACGGAAAGACCCCGUGAACCUUUACUAUAGCUUGACACUGAACAUUGAGCCUUGAUGUGUAGGAUAGGUGGGAGGCUUAGAAGUGUGGACGCCAGUCUGCAUGGAGCCGACCUUGAAAUACCACCCUUUAAUGUUUGAUGUUCUAACGUUGACCCGUGAUCCGGGUUGCGGACAGUGUCUGGUGGGUAGUUUGACUGGGGCGGUCUCCUCCUAAAGAGUAACGGAGGAGCACGAAGGUUGGCUAAUCCUGGUCGGACAUCAGGAGGUUAGUGCAAUGGCAUAAGCCAGCUUGACUGCGAGCGUGACGGCGCGAGCAGGUGCGAAAGCAGGUCAUAGUGAUCCGGUGGUUCUGAAUGGAAGGGCCAUCGCUCAACGGAUAAAAGGUACUCCGGGGAUAACAGGCUGAUACCGCCCAAGAGUUCAUAUCGACGGCGGUGUUUGGCACCUCGAUGUCGGCUCAUCACAUCCUGGGGCUGAAGUAGGUCCCAAGGGUAUGGCUGUUCGCCAUUUAAAGUGGUACGCGAGCUGGGUUUAGAACGUCGUGAGACAGUUCGGUCCCUAUCUGCCGUGGGCGCUGGAGAACUGAGGGGGGCUGCUCCUAGUACGAGAGGACCGGAGUGGACGCAUCACUGGUGUUCGGGUUGUCAUGCCAAUGGCACUGCCCGGUAGCUAAAUGCGGAAGAGAUAAGUGCUGAAAGCAUCUAAGCACGAAACUUGCCCCGAGAUGAGUUCUCCCUGACCCUUUAAGGGUCCUGAAGGAACGUUGAAGACGACGACGUUGAUAGGCCGGGUGUGUAAGCGCAGCGAUGCGUUGAGCUAACCGGUACUAAUGAACCGUGAGGCUUAACCUU
rnacentral:rRNA from 1 species